rnacentral:hammerhead_ribozyme from 1 species
AUCCAUUUGAUGAGUCCCAAAUAAGAUGAAAGGCACGUUCUGGAU